rnacentral:rRNA from 1 species
AUUGAACGCUGGCGGAAUGCUUUACACAUGCAAGUCGAGCGGCAGCGCGGGGGCAACCCUGGCGGCGAGCGGCGAACGGGUGAGUAACACAUCGGAACGUACCCAGUUGUGGGGGAUAGCUCGGCGAAAGCCGGAUUAAUACCGCAUACGACCUGAGGGUGAAAGCGGGGGAUCGCAAGACCUCGCGCGAUUGGAGCGGCCGAUGUCGGAUUAGCUAGUUGGUAGGGUAAAGGCCUACCAAGGCGACGAUCCGUAGCGGGUCUGAGAGGACGACCCGCCACACUGGAACUGAGACACGGUCCAGACUCCUACGGGAGGCAGCAGUGGGGAAUUUUGGACAAUGGGGGAAACCCUGAUCCAGCCAUUCCGCGUGAGUGAAGAAGGCCUCGGUUGUAAG